rnacentral:tRNA from 1 species
GGGCGGCUAGCUCAGUUGGUUAGAGCACUAGCUCGACACGCUAGGGGUCGUAGGUUCGAGUCCUAUGCCGCCCA